rnacentral:rRNA from 1 species
UACGUAGGGUGCAAGCGUUGUCCGGAAUUAUUGGGCGUAAAGAGCUCGUAGGCGGUCUGUCGCGUCGGCUGUGAAAACCCGGGGCUCAACCCCGGGCCUGCAGUCGAUACGGGCAGACUAGAGUGCGGUAGGGGAGACUGGAAUUUACGGUGUAGCGGUGAAAUGCGUAGAUAUCGUAAGGAAGACCAGUGGCGAAGGCGGGUCUCUGGACAGUUCCUGACGCUGAGGCACGAAGGUCUGGGGAGCAAACGGG